AGUGGCGAAAUUCUGCCGCGGAGAAAAUUACGUUGUCGGUGCGGCGAGCAGACGACAACUGGGGCGAGUGGAACGGCACCCCUUCCGUUUCGGAUUCGGCAGACGACAAAGGGGUGUGCGCAAGAUGCACCUCGCCCGAAUCGUUCUGAACAUGAAGCAGUAUUACAGUAUUUCUCCUUGGCUCCAGUGUGAUUUUGCUUAUAAAGGAGCAUGAACAUGUCAAGUAUGGCUUCGACGCUAUAGCCCAAUCUUAAAUUACAUUGUAUAAAGUUUUUUUCUUUUUUUUUUCUCCAUUAUUACUCAUUUUUCAAGUAGUGUCAAAUAGAUUUUUUAUGGUUGUUUACCGAUAUUCUUAGAAGUUCGUAGUGCCUUCAUUUCAAGAUACCAUCAGCGUUGCCUUCAAAGCAAAUCUUCUCAAAUAAUAAUAGCUCUUAGAACAAGUAAAUCUUUUAGCAUAUCAGCUAAUUUACAUUUUCUGACAAUCAGGUAAAAGUCUCUUUAUACUUAAAGUUCUAUUCGCACUUAGCUAGUACUUUCAAGAUUUAGAACUUUUAUCUUUGCCUUCUUGCUCUCAUUAACUUAUCCGGGCACAAUUUUUCGGAUCGUCUGCUAGCAAUAAUAUUUAUUCGACAUUCUUUUCAAGAAGCAAAGUAAAUGGCUCACCGCAGUUUUGUUUCAAUUUCUUCGUGAACAUUAUUGUUUUUCGUGAACUGUCAUUACACGGAUUUUUCGAGUAACGGAAGUAUAUCAAAGCUGUUCUGCUCAAGGAGUUAUUGCCAACAAUGGAUAUAAGUGCUGCCACUUUUUUAUUGGAUUACAUCGACUGUUGAAGACAGCGGGUGGAAAUUUGGAAUUUUUUUCCCGCGAUCCGGACGACGACGAUUUUUGGGAAUCAUGGCAAUGUUCCGGGGGAUCGGAGGACCUGCAGGGGCCUCUGGAAUGGGAGGUCCUUGGGACAAGUUGAUGUCCAAAGUAAAACGCCAACACUCAGGUCAACACCAAGGAGCGGACUCAAGGUAAGUGCUUGAAUCCGUCUGUUUCUACACAAUAAUGGUGUGUGUUCGAAGAAAUUAUGGCUUUGACUACAGCUACAAGUUGAAAUGGAAAAAUCACGACAUAAAUGGGAUGAAACAAAUAUGAAAGAAGCCAUUGAAAAAGUUGGACUUAAUAACAUGACAAUUAGCCAACCAUAGGCUAUAUUUUUCAACUUUUAUAAAAAAAUAUUACUUAUUUUCAUUUUUAGACAUGUAUACUAUUCUAAGUAACCAACUACUUUGUUCGUUUCGUUUUUUUGCACAUUAAAAUGUUAUUUCUGAACUAUUUGUUUUAAUUUCAACAUUUUAAUGUUUUGUCCGAUACAACCCUCCAAAAUUUAAAAUUGGCCAAAAAUAGAGUUUGACAAAAAU